rnacentral:rRNA from 1 species
ACAGCCCAGACCACCAGCUAAGGUCCCAAAAUAUAUGUUAAGUGGAAAAGGAUGUGGCGUUGCCCAGACAACUAGGAUGUUGGCUUAGAAGCAGCCAUCAUUUAAAGAGUGCGUAAUAGCUCACUAGUCGAGUGACACUGCGCCGAAAAUGUACCGGGGCUAAACAUAUUACCGAAGCUGUGGAUUGUCCUUUGGACAAUGGUAGGAGAGCGUUCUAAGGGCGUUGAAGCAUGAUCGUAAGGACAUGUGGAGCGCUUAGAAGUGAGAAUGCCGGUGUGAGUAGCGAAAGACGGGUGAGAAUCCCGUCCACCGAUUGACUAAGGUUUCCAGAGGAAGGCUCGUCCGCUCUGGGUUAGUCGGGUCCUAAGCUGAGGCCGACAGGCGUAGGCGAUGGAUAACAGGUUGAUAUUCCUGUACCACCUAUAAUCGUUUUAAUCGAUGGGGGGACGCAGUAGGAUAGGCGAAGCGUGCGAUUGGAUUGCACGUCUAAGCAGUAAGGCUGAGUAUUAGGCAAAU